UUUUGUCGUACGCAAUUAAGCGCAUAUGGUGGAUGCCUAGGCACCACAAGACGAAGAAGGACGUAGCAGCCUGCGAAAAGUCUCGGGGAGGUGGCAAGCAACCUUUGAUCCGGGAAUAUCCGAAUGGGGGAACCCAUCCCGACUUAGUCGGGAAAUCAUAUACUGAAUACAUAGGUAUAUGAAGAAGACCUGGGGAAGUGAAACAUCUCAGUACCCAGAGGAAAAGAAAUCACAGAAAUUCCCUUAGUAGUGGCGAACGAACGGGGAACAGCCUAAAUCAUACAAAUGUUUCCGUGGGAUUCGAUUGAUCUAAAGAUUAAUUUUGACCCGCGGUUUAAAGGUGCGGACCGUUGUUUGUAUGACGUUGUAAGAUACUAGCGCCGGUUUUCCGUAAAAACCGGGUAUAGUCAUUAUUUUUAGCAGAAGGCCAUGGAAAGGGCCUCCAAAGACGGUGAAAGACCGGUACGCGAAAAAAAUAAGCGACUGUAUGGUUAGUGUUCUUGAGUAGGGCGGGACUCGUGAAAUCCUGUCUGAAUCUAGGCCGACUAUGGUCUAAGGCUAAAUACUUUUGGUGACCGAUAGUGAACAAGUACCAUGAGGGAAAGGUGAAAAGCAGCCCGAUUAGGGCGAUGAAAUAGUAUCUGAAACCAUAUGCUUACAAAGAGCUGGAGUACCGAUUUAAUCGGUAUGACAGUAUUCCUAUUGAAGAAUGAGCCUGCGAGUAUGUGCAUGUCGCCGUCCCAUUAGGGACAAGCUUAAGGUCCUCUGGACCGGAGGCAUAGCGAAAGCGAGUCUAAAGCGGCGAAUUUAGUGGCAUGUACAUAACCCGAAACCGGGUGAGCUAUCCAUGGCCAGGGUGAGCUCCGAUGAAAAUCGGAGGGAGGCCCGAACCCACGCGCCGUUCAACACGCGGGGAUGAGCUGUGGAUGGGGGAGAAAUUCCAAUCGAACUCGGUGAUAGCUGGUUUUCCUCGAAAUAGCUUGAGGGCUAGCCUCAAAUGUUUCUGUCGGCGGUAGAGCACUGGAUGAGGUCGGGGUCCUUCGGGAUACCCGCUUCAAUCAAACUCCGAAUGCCGAUCAGUUAAGUUUGGGAGUCAGACUGUGAGGGCUAAGCUUCAUAGUCAAAAGGGAAACAGCCCAGAUCGCAAGCUAAGGUCCCUAAAUCUGUGUUAAGUGCACGCAAGGCGGUUUUAAUUCUCAUACAACCAGGAGGUUGGCUUAGAAGCAGCCAUCCUUUAAAGAAAGCGUAAUAGCUCACUGGUCAAGAGUUUUAGCGCCGAGAAUGUAUCGGGGCUCAAACACAGUACCGAAGCUGCGAGUCCUUCCCGAUUUAAUCAGGAAGGGCGGUAGAGGAACAUUCCCAUCUGCGUUGAAGCCGGAUCCGCGAGGACCGGUGGAGUGGUGGGAAGAGAGUAUGCAGGCAUAAGUAGCAAAAAGGCAGGCGAGAAUCCUGCCCGCUGAAAACCUAAGGUUUCCUGGGCAACGAGAAUCGCCCCAGGGUUAGUCGAUCCUAAGGCCAGGCCGAAAGGCGUAACCGAUGGAAGAACAGGUUAAUAUUCCUGUACUGCGCAUAGUUUGGUUUCCAAUGCGCAUCUUAAAUCUUUAUGCGUGUUCUUGGUUAUACACGUUUCGCAAGAAGGAGACAAAGCCUUCGGGUGGAGUCAACUUAAAGAAGAGAGAUGCCUAGAAAAGUUGGAAAUCGUUAAGCUGUGCGUAACCGUACCGUAAACCGACACAGGUAGGUAGGUCGAGAAGACCAAAGCGUACGAGAGAACCCUCGUUUAGGAACUCGGCAAAAAAUCGGCCGUAACCUAGGGAUAAGGCCUUCCCGAUUUAAUCGGGAUACAACAAAAGAUCUCCUGCGACUGUUUACCAAAAACACAGCUCCCUGCAAAAGCGCAAGCUGAAGUAUAGGGGGCGACGCCUGGCCAGUGUCAGAACGUUAAGGGGAGAGGUUAUUCACCUUCGGGUGGAGAAGCUUUGAUCCGAAGCGCUGAUGAACGCCGGCGAUAACUAUAAUCGUCCUAAGGUUUUCCAGAUUAUUUUUAGUCUGGAAAAGGACUGGGACGAUUAUAUGUAAUUCGUUGCCUAUCUUUCAAGUAAUUGAAAGGAUGUCCAAAAAUAGUCAGCCAUAUGCUGGAAAAUCUGAGCAUCAAACACUACUAUAAAGAAUGCCAUAAUUAGUAUAUAUAUUAAAUAUGGCAUCAAAUAGUAACAAUGUGAUUUGUGCAGAAAACCAGCAGGAAAGACUUAUCAAGGUUGGAUGGAUUAUCGGUUUUGUUGAUGGCGAAGGAUGCUUUUCAGUUGGUUUUAUUAAACAAGCCAAUAAAAUUGAAAAGAACAGACUUCGUCGUGGUUAUAAAAUCGGUUAUCAAGUGACAUGUGAAUUUGCCGUUACUCAAGGUAAAAAAAGUCUUGGCUCUUUGAAAGAGCUAAGAAAUUUUUUUAGAGUUGGUAGAAUAUACAUAAAUAGAAGAAAAGACAAUCAUAAAGAACCUUUGUACAGGUUCGUAGUCAGAAAUAGAAAAGAAUUGACCGAGGUGAUUGUUCCUUUCUUUCAGAAAUUCACAUUAAAAACAUCCAAACGCAAAGAUUUUACGAAGUUCGUUGAAUGUCUUGAGAUGGUAAAAAAUAAUGAACACCUGCAAAUAAACGGAUUCAUUAAAAUAGCCAAAAUUACAAUGACAAUGAACAGAAGAAAGAAUCGAAGCGCUUUGAUAAGAAUCCUCAGAGACCAUACGCUGACCUCCAAAUCUGUAGAGAUUUUGGAUGAAGAGAUGGUCCGGACUGCAUAGCGAUAUGCAGGCUAUACAAUAGCGCCAAUUUAACUUAAUUGGUAACAUAUCAAGCGAAAUUCCUUGUCGUGUGAGUUACGACCCGCACGAAUGGCGUAACGGUGGGAGAACUGUCUCAACGAGGGACUCGGUGAAAUUGCAAGACCGGUAAAGAUGCCGGUUACCCGCAGCUGGACGAAAAGACCCCGUGAAGCUUUACUACAACUUGAUAUUGGUUUAAGGGCAAACAUGUUCAGAAUAGGUGGGAGCCUUCGGGCAACAGUGAGAUACCACCCUUGUUUAUUUUUAAACCUAAUUUUUUCGCUUGAAUCAGCGAAAGAAAACAGUAUCUGGUGGGUAGUUUAUCUGGGGCGGAUGCCUUAAAGUGGUAUUAUUCUCCGUUUUACCACAAGGGGGCGUUUUGGCUAUAUGCUGGAACCUCCGAGUAUCCAACUUGACUAAAUUUUAGUAAAACUAAGUUGGUGCGGACAAUCAGCAGGGAAGUUUGUUGACUUUCGCCUUUGGCGAAUCAGCAUAACCCCUCAACGACUACACGCCAAAUUCCAAUUAAGCUAAUUGGCUUAAUUGGAAAUGAUAUAGUCUGACCUGUUCCGAUGUUAAAUCGGAGUCCCAAUUAAAUUUAUAUUGGGAUAUGGCGACAUACAGAUUCCGAAAUUAUUUCGGAAACCUAAAAAAUAUGAAAAUAAUAAAAAUAAAACAAAAGCAAAGGGAUAUAAUAAUUGGAAAAAUUCUUGGCGAUGGUCACUUGGAAACAAUGACCAAGGGCAAAACAUAUAGACUGAAGAUUGAACAUUCUAUCAACCAAAAAGAAUAUGUUGAUUGGGUGUAUAAAAAUCUUCAAUCAAUCGCGUCUAAACAUCCCCAAGAAAGAGUUAUCCAAUUAAACGACAAGCAAUAUAAAAAGUACUGGUUUAACACCAUAAAUACUCCUUCAUUAAGAUUUUAUGCGCAGCAAUUUUAUCAUGGCAGGAAAAAAAUAGUGCCAAAAAUGAUAAAACGCUGGUUAAAUCCAUUAACGCUUGCCGUUUGGUUUAUGGAUGAUGGCUCAAUUAAGUCAAAAUUCCAUAAGGCCAAGAUUAUAAAUACCCAGUCGUUUGCCAUAACUGAUCUAAAAUUAUUGCAAUCGGCUUUGCUAGAAAGGUAUGGCAUUGAAACUAAAAUACGCAAUCAGAAAGAAGGUCAGCAAAUUUAUCUUUUGUCUAAAACAAUUGAUAAAUUUGAAAGUAUAAUUAGACCAUAUAUUGUAGAAUCAAUGUCAUAUAAAUUAGGUUAACAAAUUGCCUAAAAUGUAACGGAGGCGUUUACAAAGGUUGGCUUAGCUCGGAUGGAAAUCGAGCCGGACGUGCAAACGCACAAGCCAGCUUUACUGCAAGAGCUACAACUCGAGCAGUCACGAAAGUGGAAGUUAGUGAACCGACCAACCUAUAUAGGAAGGUGGAAGAUCAUCGGAUAAAAGCUACUCCGGGGAUAACAGGCUGAUCCUGCCCGAUAGCCCNNNNNNNNNNNNNNNNNNNNNNNNNNNNNNNNNNNNNNNNNNNNNNNNNNNNNNNNNNNNNNNNNNNNNNAAUUAAAGCGGUACGCGAGCUGGGUUCAGAACGUAAAUAACAUUGCGUUUAAUCACAGAAAUGUGAUAUAAUAGUACUGACUCAUAACGGUGAAACCCUACUAAAAACCGAACUUUUUAGAGGGCAAUACCGUGGGAAGGUUAGUUUAUGUCAAUAAUUUCGUCUACAACAAAAUCAUAUAUUGCUGGUUUUCUGGAUGGUGAUGGCUGUAUUUUGUUUCAAUUGGUGCGUAGAAAAGACUAUAUUUAUGGUUUUCAAAUACGCGCUAGCAUAGUUUUUUAUCAAAAAACUAUUAAUAGACAUCAUUUAGAAUGGCUAAAGAAAACAUUAUAUAGUAUUGGUUAUAUCAGAGAUCGCAAUGAUGGUAUGACAGAAUAUACCAUUGUCGGUUUUAAAUCAGUAAUAAAGAUUUUGGAAUUAUUGAAACCUUAUAUAAUUCUAAAAAAGAGGCAUGUAGAGGUCGCGUUGCAAAUUAAUAAAAUUUUGCAAGGCAAGUUUUCAUUAGAAAAAAUGUUAAAAGCGGCCAAGUUAGUUGAUCUUUUUGGAGAAUUAAAUUAUUCCAAAAGGAGAAAAAAUACCUCUGUGGAAUUAAAGAAUUAUUUAAAGCAACAUAAAUUAUACCCCUGUAACGACUUCAGACCGGAUAUUUUAAAUUGAAGGUCUGGGAUAGAUAUAAAAUUAUAUUUAUAACACGUCAGCUCCUACUUCAUGUUGUUGAAGAGGAUGAAGGUAUAGUCUGUGCCAUUAGUAAUAAUGGAAUAACAUGCGUGAGACAGUUCGGUCUCCUAUCCGCUGUGGGCGUUGAAUAUUGAGAGGGUCUGCUCCUAGUACGAGAGGACCGGAGCGGACGAACCUCUGGUGUACCAGUUGUCCUACCAAGGGCAUUGCUGGGUAGCUACGUUCGGUAUGGAUAAACGCUGAAAGCAUCUAAGCGUGAAGCCGUCCUCAAGAUUAAUAUUCGUUAUUAGACUCCUUGUAGACUACAAGGUUGAUAGGCGCUAGGUAUAAGCUCAGUAAUGAGUUAAGCCGAGGCGUACUAAUUGUCAAGCG
rnacentral:rRNA from 1 species